GUGGGUACAAGGAAUCUACUUUAUUCAAUACACUAACCUAAUUUCCGAGAAAUGUUACAUAUCUUAGAAAUUAGGGUUUUUCUUGGUUUGUGUGCUGAACAAAGUAGAUUCCUUAUACCCA
rnacentral:pre_miRNA from 1 species